GGGAUGGAGACAUGCCUCAGUGAUAGAGCAUCUGCUUUGCAUGCAGAAGGUCCCAGGUUCAAUCCACUCAGCAUCCCU